GGGCAUAGAGAGUUCCUCGCGCUAUAACCUGGCUCGCGAACGAACCAGCCUGCUUUGGCUGGCGGAUCGUUUUACACGACGCAUAGAGACGCCAAAAACACGUACAGACAGCGGAGUGGCUCGCAAUUAGGGAACAAGAGGAUGCUCAUCUAGAAAAGAGAGAGCACGACUGCGAACCAAAAAGAGGGUGGCACAGAGCUGAAGUCCAAAGACAGAGAGAGAGAGAGAGAGAGAGAGAUGGUCUCGACUUGUCUAUCGAACAAGGCGUAUGGAAAGAGACGGAGAAACAGAGUCGGUGCAUGUUCGAAAGACAAGCUCACGGCACGAGGGCCAACAGAAAGAGAGGAAGGGAGAGGAAGAGAGAUCUGGAUGAGGCGAAUUCCAAAAGAGAUGUGCUUUUAAUUAUACUAACGCCCGGUGUCCGAUUAAAUGAACGGAAGAGCCAAACUCACGAAGCGCAGUGCAAAUUUAAUUAUAGGGAAAAGGGCAGGCUAGAGAGGGCAGAGGGGAAGGCAAGUGCAAGAGAGAGAGAGAGAGAGAGAGAGAGAGAGAGAGAGAGAGAGUGAGAGAAGGAGGAAGAGAGAGAGGGCGUUCAAACACUGAUAAGAGACUCAAUUAUCGAACUAUCACAGGGAGGCUCGUUCCGUUUGCAUUUCCAAUUAUUUGCUGGGAAACGGUCUGCCAAUACCGGGUACUCUCGAUAACGCUGCCCUCUCGCUUCUCGAGCUGCCUCCGCUAACGGCUUUCCACAACCUCUCCUUCAUUCUGUCUCUUUUCUGUUUUUCCCAGAGCCACUAUGCUCGUCUCGCUCCUCGUGACAGACCAUUUGACUUGCUCGCGCCGCGAUUCGCGAGUCGCUCGCAUCAUCCUCGCGACCCACCCCUAACUUGUCCUCCUCUGAUACGGAUACCAUCGUCCACGGAAAAUGCCGUAUAAUUACGUAAAUCGGAUUAACGAUUUAUAAUCGUCCGCGUCAUGGCAGAUUAAUUGGACAAAUUCCUCGUUCGAUGAUUUCGAGUUUCCAACGAGGUGACGUGUUUCGACGGGAUUUAUGAUUUUGGACUUUUGACAUUUUGGCGGGUUUGACGCCUUCAGCGGCGAGUAACUUUCGCGAACGUACGCAUCCGGAGACCGAGCUUUCUCGAGCGAUAAUUUCUCCAAAUUUAUCAAAAUUAGAUCCACGGUAUUAAAAUAUUCGCUUAUUGCGAACGAACGGAACAACUUUUAAUUUGAUAAUUUACUAACAACUUCAGCAUUUUAAAGUUCGUUGCUGUAUACAUACUUACAGGAAUCGUGCAUUUCGUAACACGAUGGAACGUAUUAAUACUUGAAUUUGCGGCUAUUAUCAUGUUAUUCAAAUUUAAUAUGAAAUUAACCAAUUUGAUUAUUUGUGAUUAAUGCAAAUUGCGGUUUGAAAUUCACGUUCCAUAGUGAAUUAUCGGAAAUAAUUUGAGAAACAAACUGUGCGUGAUAUAUGUAUAACACAUUUCGAUAGAUACGUAACAGUAUAUCCUUCAAAUAUUCUUUUCUCAUUUCUAAUUACAAUAUAAUUAUUAUUCAACACG
rnacentral:misc_RNA from 1 species